rnacentral:rRNA from 1 species
GACGAACGCUGGCGGCGUGCCUAAUACAUGCAAGUCGAACGCACUCUCGUUUAGAUUGAAGGAGCUUGCUCCUGAUUGAUAAACAUUUGAGUGAGUGGCGGACGGGUGAGUAACACGUGGGUAACCUGCCCUAAAGUGGGGGAUAACAUUUGGAAACAGAUGCUAAUACCGCAUAAAACCUAACACCGCAUGGUGUAGGGUUGAAAGAUGGUUUCGGCUAUCACUUUAGGAUGGACCCGCGGUGCAUUAGUUAGUUGGUGAGGUAAAGGCUCACCAAGACCGUGAUGCAUAGCCGACCUGAGAGGGUAAUCGGCCACACUGGGACUGAGACACGGCCCAGACUCCUACGGGAGGCAGCAGUAGGGAAUCUUCCACAAUGGACGAAAGUCUGAUGGAGCAACGCCGCGUGAGUGAAGAAGGUUUUCGGAUCGUAAAACUCUAGUUGUUGGUAGAAGAAUGUAUCUGAUAGUAACUGAUCAGGUAGU